UUUCUGCCCAAGUCUGACCUUGAGGGAGACAAUAAAAGAGGGUCAGAGCGCGCGCCUGGGGCAAGCCGACCACCGAGAGCCUUCCACAGUGUUUUUAGAUGCUCAUUGACCUGGAUGUGUGUGUGCUGUAGAAGUCUUGCGGCCCGGAAAGGUUUCUUGUGUCCUGCCUCCGUGGAGCUCAGAGAGUUUGACGAGGCCGCGAUGGGUUUGCGCACAACCAACCUGGGGCUGUGCAUGCGCAGAGCGCUGGAAGGUCUUUGCUGUCCUCGUCUUUGUGCUUCCAGUCUGUGGAUCUCCAGACGGCUGUUCUAUGUAACAGAGAACCCUAACAAAUGGCGACGUCGACUCUGCUGAUGUCAUCUCUGAUUAUAAAAGAGAGCUCAGACACAUGAUCUGAAAUCUACUCCAUUGCUGACAAUGCACACAAUGACACGCAAAAACUUUCGAGCAGUUGUGCAUCAGUUUCACAGCUGCCAAACUUCGGCAGCUUUUUUUAACCAGCACGUGUUCGUUUUGGAGCUGGGGAAUAUAACAUAUGGCAUUCAAUGGACUUUUAUUGACUUUGGCUUAGAUCUACAUUGACCUCAUUGAGUAGACAAGAAUCUAACCUGAGAAGAACCUAAUCUUUACUUCUGUAACAUCACAUUGCCACUUUAUUUAGAGUCUGCUCUUAAGUAUGAUGGAGGUGUCUUUGAUCCUUUACCACACGAUGAUGUUCUGGAAAUUUUGUUUUGGCGGAUGGGAUUUUUUUUUAACCCAAAUCCUGUGUUCCAAACAAUGGUGAGUUUUAAGAUUUUCGUUCAUUUAAUAUAAAGGAUAUGUUGAGUUAAUAAACAAACAAGAAAUGUUUUAAUGCUUCUUCCUAUACUUUAAUCAGUUUUGUUUUGACCAAAACUUCGGAAUCUUGAUCACUUCUAACUAUCCAAAGGAUAAAUGGACAACAAGGCUGGUGAGAAACUGGAUACUGCAGUACAUGUUAGCCAAAACAAAGAUUCAUCCCUUUUUGUUUUUUGUUUUUUGUUUCUCUCUAUUCUUGAUUUCUUUCAUGCUGGUCUUCUUGGUCAUCUGCAAGUCUUCCACUUGUUUUACAUAUUUAAAUCAGCAACAGUUUAAAUUAAGUCAGGAAAGGAAAUAGUGAAUGGCUUAGCACAAUUAUUAUGGUUAAGUGUUCUAGAGUUAAAUCCUAAGCUAAAUGCUAGAGAGAAUGUUUUUUUUUUAUGGCUGAAAGUUUGUAAAGAAUGCAUGAGGUAUGUCUGUCGUGUGGUGUGGCGUGUGUCCAUUGUGUCCACAAACCCGUCCAUGAUUGUGUGUGGCCUCUUUAAUAAGCCUGUUAAACCCCUUCUACCCCGAAUAGCAUUGACAAAAGCAGGUGUGGUGGUGGGUCAUGUGGUUGCUCAAAGCAACCACAUGCCAGUUGUUCAGUAUUCUUUCCCCAGUAUGGCCCCUUCCCCCCAUUAUAAAUAACCUCCAUCUAUCCCACUCCUCUUUCCCUUACUGCUUUGUUAGGAAUAGUUGCUGUCAAGAGCAUACGCAUCGCUGAGAUGCCAGCCCAGGUGAUUGAGGAUUAAGUCCUCUUGUUUCAGCAGUAAGUUGGGUUGCAGAUAAUGAACGACCUCUGUCCAACCUCUGACUGAGUGUCCCUGAUUGUAAUGCCAUGCCAGCAAUGCGGAAUUGAUUUACUUUUCAGGCAUGUCCAGUGUCACCAUGGGCUUACUGAUAUAGAACACAAGACACAAUGGCGUGUGCUGGUUUGACCCUAUUUGGUGCUGAGCUAAUUUAGAACAAUGGCGGAGGCAAGUCUAUGUUCCACCAUUAAAUUGGAAACUGUUGCUCUCCAACUUGCACCCGAAUGAAAAGAAAAAGAUACUUACCAUACUGUACUUUUAUAUUGCUGUUGUCAUAAGACUUGUAAAAUGUCCAUUAUCAUUUUUCCCCCCAGAAGAAAGAGCUGGCCUGAGUAAGUGGUUUGUUAAGCAGAAAAGACCAUCCAUUACAUCACAUAUAAAAAGACUCUUGAUUAAGAGUGCCAAUCAGGCAGCACUGGAGGAACCGCUUCGGUUGCAGGGGUCAAAGUAUGCAGAUGAUGUAGAAGACCUAUCUGAAAUGGUGCUCCACCUCAGCAAUGCUUACAAACAGACAAGUGAAUCACAAUUCAUAAACCAAAAGUCAACAUUUCUACACCAUAAACAACGAAGUAUCGAUUCAAUAAAUAAGUUAAACAAAUGGAAGCUAAGUGGCAUUAACAAACUAUGGGAAUGGAUCUUGAAGAGUCUGGACAUUGGAAUGAAGAUCUCAUGAAACAAAUGGCAGCAACAGAUCAUCAAAACAUCUUUCUGAAAAAACUUCCAACAGUAAUUCCCAGAAAGUGAAAAUUUUGCAUGCACAGAUAAACAAAGAUAACACAAUUACCACAUAGGGAAGUAAUUCUGAUGAUUGAAUGUGUGCUGAACCUGAAAAAGAAGCUCGAAAGUGAUAUCUCAAAUGUGGCUUUGAUGCAAUGGUGAUGCAAAGCUCAGGAGAGCAUCUACAGAUUGGAAGGUUAGUGUGCAUUGUAUCAUCUUGAACCAUUCUUUCUUGCUUGCAUUGCAGUUCCCAACUUCUAGGAAAGCACAUGCAGUGUUCAAAUUGGUGCACAUCAGCACACAAGUACAAGUAACUUUAACAGUAUUCAAGGUGCAAGGAUGGAACAAUAUUAACAAAAGAAUUUCUGCUUCAGAAACAUCCACUAUAGUGCAAAGGAGAACAGACAUGGAUGAUUCUCGAACCAACCGACUGUGCUUAUGCUAAAGACAAACACAUUAUCAAUCCACUAAUGUUCUUAUAUUUAGAGCAGGUGAGUCUUCUCAUUAAACUAUUCUAAUGAAGCAUACACCUCUUUCUAAUUUUUAUGGAGUUUGAGGAUUCUUUGUAAUGUAGACAGAAAAAAAUUAAUCAUUGCUUUUGCAUAGUAAAUAUUUCAUGCAGUAUUAAGAUGUUUUUUAGAACAUGUUGCCAGAAAUGAUUAAAAAUCGUGAAACAUAAAUAAAGAGAAUUACUAGCUUGA